UACGUAGGGUGCAAGCGUUAAUCGGAAUUACUGGGCGUAAAGCGUGCGCAGGCGGUUUUGUAAGUCUGUCGUGAAAUCCCCCGGGCUCAACCUGGGAAUUGCGAUGGAGACUGCAAGGCUAGAAUCUGGCAGAGGGGGGUAGAAUUCCACUGUAGCAGUGAAAUGCGUAGAGAUGUGGAGGAACACCGAUGGCGAAGGCAGCCCCCUGGGUCAAGAU
rnacentral:rRNA from 1 species